AUUUUAUUAGUAUAAGUAGUAUGUUUGUUUUCCAAACAAGGGGUUUAAUAUAAUUUAAAUAAAAUA
rnacentral:tRNA from 1 species